rnacentral:rRNA from 1 species
AGUAACGCGUGAGGAACCUGCCUCAAAGAGGGGGACAACAGUUGGAAACGACUGCUAAUACCGCAUAAGCCCACAGCUCGGCAUCGAGCAGAGGGAAAAGGAGUGAUCCGCUUUGAGAUGGCCUCGCGUCCGAUUAGCUAGUUGGUGAGGUAAUGGCCCACCAAGGCGACGAUCGGUAGCCGGACUGAGAGGUUGAACGGCCACAUUGGGACUGAGACACGGUCCAA